CUAUAGGUGGUGGAUCUCUCAACUGUUGCUACCCUGUAGCUUAGAUGGCCCAUCCGGUGAGUAAUGUGUGGGCCUCUACCCGUUUAGCGUGUCAAUGACACUGAACAAACUUGUGUCUCUUCCGCAUAAAUCUGUUCUGAGAAAGCUCUGUGCUCCAUUGGAUGAGCCCGGACUCGAUUACUUUGUUGGUAGGGUAAUGGCCUACCACAACUAUGAUCACCAACCGACUUGCAUGGAUGAUCUGCCAUGUCGGGACUGACACCCCGCCCAGACGCCUACCUCGAGGUAUCCGUGGGGAUUCUUGCACAAUGGAGGAAACUCUGAUGCAUCGAUGCCUCGUGAGUGAAGAAUGCCUUUGGGUUGUAAAGCUCUUUCUUCUGGUAAGAAAAUGACUGUUCCCGAAUAUGAAGGUCCGGCUAACUUCGUGUCAUCAGCCGCGGUAUUACUAAGGGACCUAGCGCAUUUCGGAAUUACUGGGCUUAAAGAGUUCGUAGGUGGUUGAAAAAGUUGGUGGUGAAUUCCC
rnacentral:rRNA from 1 species